GCAAACGGGUGCGUAACACAUUGGUAACCUGCCCUGAAGAGUGGAAUAACUCCGCGAAAGCGGAGCUAAUACCACAUGUCGUUUUCCGGCAUAUGCCGGAAAAAGAAAGGUCCGCAUGGAUCGCUUCAGGAGGGGCCUAUGGCUUAUCAGCUAGUUGGUAGGGUAAUGGCCUACCAAGGCUAUGACGAGUAGCGGGCGUGAGAGCGCGACCCGCCUCAGUGGGACUGAGACACUGCCCACACUCCUACGGGAGGCUGCAGUCGAGAAUAUUCCCCAAUGGGCGAAAGCCUGAGGGAGCGACGCCGCGUGCAGGAAGAAGGUCUUCGGAUUGUAAACUGCUUUUCUCUGGGAUGAACUUUGACCGUACCAGAGGAAUAAGAGGUUGCUAACUCUGUGCCAGCAGCAGCGGUAAUACAGAGACCUCGAGCGUUAUCCGGAUUUACUGGGCGUAAAGGGUCCGCAGGUGGUUUUGUAAGUCUUCGGUUAAAUCCUUGAGCUCAACUCGAGGACUGCCGAGGAAACUACAGGGCUAGAGACCGUUAGAGGCAAGCGGAAUUGCCGGUGUAGUAGUAAAAUGCGUUAAUAUCGGCAAGAACACCAAAUGCGAAGGCAGCUUGCUAGAACGGUUCUGACACUCAGGGACAAAGCGUGGGGAGCGAUACGGAUUAGAUACCCGUGUAGUCCACGCCCUAAACGAUGGGUACUGGGCAUUGGGAGUAUCGACCCUCUCAGUGCCGCAUACUAAAGCUAACGCGUUAAGUACCCCAGCCUGGGAGUACGGCCGCAAGGCUA
rnacentral:rRNA from 1 species